GGAAGGAAUGCCAGUGGUCCUUAGGGGAGACCUUUGUAUCAUGGGGUCACCUGACAUGGGAGGAAGGUCAUGGACAGCUGUGUCAUGGGGCCUUUCAUGUGCUGUUGGAUUUUUCGGAAGGGGCAGUCACCUUGAGAGACAUGCCAUCAGCCUGUGAGGAGGAGGUGCAUUCCUUCUGAGGACAGAUUUGCCUGGGAUCCUGGAAUCACUGUGGCUGAAGCUGGAAGAUUGCUCCAGAGGGGGCAAUUGCCUUGAGAGACAUGACGUCAGCGGACAAGGACAACAUGCAUUCCUUCUGAAGACAGAGUUGCCUGGAAUCCUUGAAUUGCUGUGGCUGAGGCUGGCUGUUCACUCUGGAGGGCCUCUUUGCCUUGAGGAAGGGCAUGGAGCAUGCACAGUCCCAGGCACACUGCUGUGGAGCAUCCAUUGGCUC